rnacentral:rRNA from 1 species
AGUGAACGCUGGCGGUAGGCCUAACACAUGCAAGUCGAACGGCAGCACAGUAAGAGCUUGCUCUUACGGGUGGCGAGUGGCGGACGGGUGAGGAAUACAUCUGAAUCUACUUUUUCGUGGGGGAUAACGUAGGGAAACUUACGCUAAUACCGCAUACGACCUACGGGUGAAAGCAGGGGAUCUUCGGACCUUGCGCGAUUGAAUGAGCCGAUGUCGGAUUAGCUAGUUGGCAGGGUAAAGGCCCACCAAGGCGACGAUCCGUAGCUGGUCUGAGAGGAUGAUCAGCCACACUGGAACUGAGACACGGUCCAGACUCCUACGGGAGGCAGCAGUGGGGAAUAUUGGACAAUGGGCGCAAGCCUGAUCCAGCCAUACCGCGUGGGUGAAGAAGGCCUUCGGGUUGUAAAGCCCUUUUGUUGGGAAAGAAAAGCAGCAGGUUAAUACCCCGCUGUUCUGACGGUACCCAAAGAAUAAGCACCGGCUAACUUCGUG